AGACCUCCGUGAAAAGUAUUCCACAAAUUACCAGAGAGUUGAAGAUCCCCCAAAAGAUUGUAACCCCUGGUAAAACUUUCAGAAACAACCAGAUUUCACUUUUGAAAUCAGUUGAGACACAGGAGACCGUGUGGGAGAACUCAAAAUGCUGAGAGAGGAAGCACUUAUCCUCAGAUGAUAAACUAUCUACAGGAUAUCCAGCGGCUGGGAACACACAGUUGGAAAAUCCUUGCUUUAUCUCCCGAAACAGGACCCAAAUGUUGAUCAUGAGAGCCCAGUGCUGUCACUGUACAUCAGCACAAGCAAAGGAAACUAAAUACUCAAGCUCA